AUUGAACGCUGGCGGCAUGCUUUACACAUGCAAGUCGAACGGUAACGCGGGGGCAACCCUGGCGACGAGUGGCGAACGGGUGAGUAAUACAUCGGAACGUGUCCUGGAGUGGGGGAUAGCUCGGCGAAAGCCGGAUUAAUACCGCAUACGCUCUGAGGAGGAAAGCGGGGGACCUUCGGGCCUCGCGCUGCGGGAGCGGCCGAUGUCGGAUUAGCUAGUUGGUGGGGUAAAGGCCCACCAAGGCGACGAUCCGUAGCUGGUCUGAGAGGAUGAUCAGCCACGCUGGGACUGAGACACGGCCCAGACUCCUACGGGAGGCAGCAGUGGGGAAUCUUGGACAAUGGGGGCAACCCUGAUCCAGCCAUGCCGCGUGAGUGAAGAAGGCCUUCGGGUUGUAAAGCUCUUUCGGACGGAACGAAACGGUUACGGUGAAUAAUCGUGACUAAUGACGGUACCGUAAGAAGAAGCACCGGCUAACUAUGUGCCAGCCGCCGCCGUAA
rnacentral:rRNA from 1 species